rnacentral:misc_RNA from 1 species
GAUGAAGAACGCAGCGAAAUGCGAUAAGUAAUGUGAAUUGCAGAAUUCCGUGAAUCAUCGAAUCUUUGAACGCACAUUGCGCCCCUUGGUAUUCCGGGGGGCAUGCCUGUUCGAGCGUCAUUACAACCCUCAAGCUCUGCUUGGUCUUGGGCGUCACCGGUCCCCGGUGUGCCUUAAAAUCAGUGGCGGCGCCAUCUGGCUCUAAGCGUAGUACAUACUCUCGCUACAGACGUCCGGUGGAUGCUGGCCAGCAACCCCCAAUUUAUCAAGGUUGACCUCGGAUCAGGUAGGGAUACCCGCUGAACUUAAGCAUAUCAAUAAGCGGAGGA